UGACGCUAAUUAAUGUAAUGAAGUCUUCAAGCAGGUUCAUUUAAAAGCUCCAAAUUCAAUUGCCCUCUAAGGAAAUACUUCGUUUAUUGUGAACUAUUGAGCCCGCUUUUUGAAACAUCCUGUGCACAUUACGAUGUCGGACUACGUACUAUAUGUCGAGUCACGUACUAUAAGCUACGAUAGGAACGAUACGUGUAACGUGUCGUUACUCCGUAAUCUUCAUUACAUCAUAGGACAAACACAUUUUCUUAUGCUAUCCCUACAACGAUCUGAACGGCUUUCUCUCCACAAAUCCCAUACUGUCGCUUUCACCUAGACAAAACGUGAGAUCUUCGUCACAGUUCUCACCCGGAAAAAUCUUCAUCGGUGGAGGACAGUGGUAGUAUGAUUUUGAAUUUCCACAGUGCGCUAUAUUAUUGCCUGAACGCGAUGCUUCUGGUUGGGCUAUUGAAGCAUGUGUCUACAUUACGUUCCGCUCACGCAAUCUCUAAACCUUCAACCCUCUAUUUCCAAUCACCUUUUUUCAUCAUCUGCUAGUGCUUGCGGUCGGCCCAACAUUGGCAUUGGCUGAAUCUGUCCGUGGUGCAUUCGGCGAACGGGCCCUGGGAUCGUAGCAGACAACGAGUUAAUUUGUCUUUUCUCAUUCAAAACUGGUUUUGGUGUUAUCGUGAAGUGACUUCGUUAAAUAGAUAUAUUUCCCACAGGGAAUUCCUUUCCAUAGAGGGAGCUCAGAUGGGGAGGGAAAGCCGAGAACUGAAAAACCGAGAGCGUAAACUCUCACUGGAUAAACGCAUCCUUUGGCUCGCUUCGGAGCCCUCUUUGCCCAAGUAGCGGUAGACUUCUGUAUCAAGCUGUUCCGAUAAUAUUCUCGCAGCCUCUAUGGUGGCUACACGCAAACCCACAAAUGCUGUCUCAGUUGAACGAGCCCAGCACUUGCAGCAAUCGUCAUUGGUGUAGAAUGGGAAGAGCUGGGUACCAAGAACGAGUCGAAAUGACACUCUUUUCCGCUCAGGGCACAAAGAUGCACGGAAAACUGGAGGAAAACAGCGUAAUUUGAAUUUUGACUUUUGAAUUCGGCGGGCAUCGUUCCUUCUGUUGUUUCAACUACGAAUAGCCAGCGCCAUAGAAAAAAAACGAUAUGUGGCCACCGAUUGUCGCAGUGGCAUAGGCGGCAUGGGCUUACAGUAGCAGGACCGGCAUUCUGACGUGGGCCAGGCUCAGUCGCUCUCGUCGUCUUGAAGAUUCCGAACGAGCGGCUAUAGAGGACCAAGAUUUGCCGCACCGCUUGCCGCUGGCGGUGCAAGAAAAGUACGUGAGCCUACGCCAAAUGAGGAAUUAGUGACAAACGAAGGAUCGUUAUGAACGAUCGCGCACAGCAAAGGCAGCCAUAUAAAUACGUGAUGGGGCUUACGUGGAUGUCUGCUGCGCCAGCCGACUUCUCUCGGCUGUUACUAAUACGUCUACAGAUAAAGAUGAAGCUUGCACCCAGACAGGCUUCAUUACGAACCAUUAUUGAGGCUUACUCGGAAUACGAUGUCCUUCCACACUCCGGUUCCUCAAAUAAAGCAUCUAGUCCAGUUUUGCUGCAACUGAUCCGUAUUCGUGUCGCCGAGAAACUACGCGAGGAAAAAGUACUACAAUAACGAACUGUUAUGCCCAUUAAAACUGAAGAAUUAUAUACGUUAUGCUGGUACUGAUGAAAAUUGCCGCGUGCUUCUAAAGUGUCAACACAACUGAACAACAUAGGAACACUCCUUAACCGCAAUUGGGAACAGGUAAAAUGCGCAUCUGCAAAAUGAUUUGUGGCAUUGCAUCUGCCAAGGACAGCACACAGAUGGAACUUUCGCUAAGAGGGAGCAAAUUAUUGUGUUUUCUACUUAUAAGUUAUAGCUUUCUGGGCAAAGCUUCUUAUCAAGGGAACAGGUAAACAGAACACAGACAAACGUUCAAUCAGAAGAAAAUAGAUCUACAUCGAUAUGCAAAUGGACGAAACGGUUUUCCUGCCUCACUUCGUAUCCGCUACUGAUCCACCCUACGUACGUAUAUCAAUCCGAUCGUCGGGAAACGCUAUCUCUUCUACUUGGGCCUAGAUCGUCGCGAGCCGUAUUUUGUGCCAACUUCCGAAGUAAAAUCGAGAUCGCAGACUCCCCGGCAGAAAAGUAAAGAAUUUUCGAAAACCUACCUACUAGUCUUUGAUCCGAAAGCAGACAAU